rnacentral:ribozyme from 2 species
UCCUUAAUGAAGCCUAAUAGCCCCUAAUAGCCGGUGGCAAGCCCGGAUAAAUUCAGAGCCAAGGA